UAGCAAUACGAUGGAAAGUCUAGUGGCGAACGGGUGCUUAACACGUGGGCAACCUGCCAGGAAGUGGGGGAUAGCUCGCCGAAAGGCGAAUUAAUACCGCAUGUGAUUAGAGAGGACAUCCUUUCGAAAUUAAAGUCGGGGCAACCUGACGCUUUUUGUGGGGCCCGCGGCCUAUCAGCUAGUUGGUGAGGUAACGGCUCACCAAGGCUUUGACGGGUAGCUGGUCUGAGAGGACGACCAGCCACACUGGGACUGAGACACGGCCCAGACACCUACGGGUGGCAGCAGUCGAGAAUUUUUGACAAUGGGGGAAACCCUGAUCGAGCGACGCCGCGUGGAGGAUGAAGGUCUUCGGAUUGUAAACUCCUGUCAUUGGGGAACAAUGCGCAAAUAUUAACUGUAUUUGUGUUGAUAGUACCCGAAGAGGAAGAGACGGCUAACUCUGUGCCAGCAGCCGCGGUAAUACAGAGGUCUCAAGCGUUGUUCGGAUUCAUUGGGCGUAAAGGGUGCGUAGGCGGCGCGGUAAGUCGGGUGUGAAAUCUCGGAGCUUAACUCCGAAACUGCAUUCGAUACUGCCGUGCUUGAGGACUGGAGAGGAGACUGGAAUUCACGGUGUAGCA
rnacentral:rRNA from 1 species